rnacentral:misc_RNA from 1 species
AAGAUUCAGAGCAGGAGACAAAAAAAAAAGGGAAUUACAAUAAUCCCUACAAUCUCUGGAACUAACCAAAAAGGAAAAAAAAUUAACUAAAAGGCCACGCAUUAUUUCCAAAAUUUUAACUACCGAUCAACGGAAAAACUUCUUGCUCAUGCCUAUCCCCAUGUAGGAGACGUUGAUGUUUAAUCUCCCUGUCAAUGCUAAUAACCCAACACGUUGUCGUCGAAUGGAAAAUUGAUAUCAAAGUUGAAGUUAGAGAUAUCCAAAUCAUCGACAGGAGAAUUGGUGACAGAAGUUGGAGCUGAAAUUAUAUCAGUAAGUUCUGACUUUGGAGCCUGCACAUCGUAGCCUAUGCCAAAGCUAUCCACCUUGCAAGGCGAAGUUGAUAAAUAAUUGGAUUCUGAUGUUGCCGGGGAUAUAAAUGCUGGGGAAAUGCUACCUACGAAAUAGGUGGAUUCACCCUCAUUUUCCUUCUCGAUAAAUUCAUCCAGAAAGAAAAAGGAGGGAAAAAUUUCCUCCCCUGUGUUCAAAUCUUUGGCUUUAACUUGAAGCUCUUCUCCCAUGUUAAAUGCUUCUUUUGAUGGUUUUAACUUCUCUUCAAAAUGUGGCUGCUUCUGUUGUUGAGGAUGAACUUGGUUUGAAAUGGCAAAAUGAGAAGCCUGGACACAUGUAUGUCUUCCUCGAUAUGUCACUUCGAAAAUUGAGGGGUCCUCGUCCGAUCUUUGAACUUGCUUCAUGGCUAAACAACCUUGUGAGUGACGGUGAGUGCA